rnacentral:rRNA from 1 species
AAUGAACGCUGGCGGCGUGCCUAACACAUGCAAGUCGAACGAUGAUGCCGAGCUUGCUGGGGGACUUAGUGGCGAACGGGUGAGUAAUGCGUGAGUAACCGGCCCUUCACGCUGGAAUAAGUCCGGAAACCGGGGCUUAUUACCGGAUCCGACCAUCGGGGCCAUUGGAUGGUCGUGGGAAGCUUUGGUUGUUCUGGAUGGUAACGGGGCCUAUCUGCUUGGUGGUGUGGUAGUGGCCUACCGAGGCGACGACGGGUAGCCGACCUGAGAGGGUGACCGGCGACACUACGACUGAGACACGGCGCAGACGCGAACGGGAGGCAAGGGUGGAGAGUAUUACACAGUGGGCGCGAGCCUGAUGCGGCGGCGCCGCGUGUGGGAUGACGGCCAUCGGGUUGGGAAGCUCAUUCAGUUGAGACGAAGCGAUAGUGACGGUACCUGCAGAAUAAGCGCCGGCUAACUACGUG